rnacentral:rRNA from 1 species
CACGUAGGGUGCGAGCGUUGUCCGGAAUUAUUGGGCGUAAAGAGCUCGUAGGCGGUGUGUCGCGUCGGCCGUGAAAACCUGCAGCUUAACUGUGGGCUUGCGGUCGAUACGGGCAUCACUGGAGUUCGGCAGGGGAGACUGGAAUUCCUGGUGUAGCGGUGAAAUGCGCAGAUAUCAGGAGGAACACCGGUGGCGAAGGCGGGUCUCUGGGCCGGAACUGACGCUGAGGAGCGAAAGCGUGGGGAGCGAACAGG